CCCUUAGAUGCUCUGGGCCGCACGCGCGCUACACUGGUCGAUGCAACGAGUUUCUUUCCUUGGCCGACAGGCCUGGGCAAUCUUUGAACAUCGAUCGUGAUCGGGAUAGAUUCUUGUAAUUUUUGAUCUUAAACGAGGAAUUCCUAGUAAACGCAAGUCAUCAGCUUGCAUUGAUUACGUCCCUGCCCUUUGUACACACCGCCCGUCGCACCUACCGAUUGAAUGGUCCGGUGAAAUCUCCGGACUGGCGUGAGUCGGAGCAAUCUGACAAACGCCGGAAAGUUGAUUAAACCUUACCAUUUAGAGGAGGGUGAAGUCGUAACA
rnacentral:rRNA from 1 species